rnacentral:rRNA from 1 species
UACGUAGGCAGCAAGCGUUGUUCGGAAUUACUGGGCGUAAAGAGUGUGUAGGCGGUGCUCUAAGUUCGGUGUGAAAUCUCCCGGCUUAACUGGGAGGGUGCGCCGGAAACUGGAGUGCUCGAGCGUGGGAGAGGAAAGCGGAAUUCCUGGUGUAGCGGUGAAAUGCGUAGAUAUCGGGAGGAACACCUGUGGCGAAAGCGGCUCACUGGACCACAACUGACGCUGAGGCGCGAAAGCUAGGGGAGCAAACAGG